GGAAUAUUGGACAAUGGGGGCAACCCUGAUCCAGCAAUGCCGCGUGUGUGAAGAAGGCCUGAGGGUUGUAAAGCACUUUCAGUGGGGAGGAUUGUCUGGCUGGUUAAGAGCUGGCUGGAUUGACGUUACCCACAGAAGAAGCACCGGCUAACUCCGUGCCAGCAGCCGCGGUAAUACGGAGGGUGCAAGCGUUAAUCGGAAUUACUGGGCGUAAAGGGUGCGUAGGUGGUUUGGUAAGUUAUCUGUGAAAUUCCUGGGCUCAACCUGGGCUGGUCAGAUAAGACUGCUGAACUCGAGUAUGGGAGAGGGCAGUGGAAUUUCCGGUGUAGCGGUGAAAUGCGUAGAGAUCGGAAGGAACACCAGUGGCGAAGGCGGCUGCCUGGCCUGAUACUGACACUGAGGCACGAAAGCGUGGGGAGCGAACAGGAUUAGAAACCCGGGUAGUCC
rnacentral:rRNA from 1 species